UCAACUGGAGAGUUUGAUCCUGGCUCAGAGUGAACGUUGGCGGCGUGCCUAACACAUGCAAGUCGUACGC
rnacentral:rRNA from 1 species